UUAAGUUCAAGUUAGAAAGAUGAAGAACCCUAAUGCCUCUGCUAGUUUGCCCUCAUCAUCGUCACUGCCUCAUGCCCUCAACCCAUACUCCAGUGCGACGGUAGUUCCAACAGCGGAGGAAAAGCUUCUUUUCGCUACUCCAGAAGUCCAGAUCUGUGUCGAUCUGUUUUCUUCCACAGCUUCUCUAGCGCGACUGUUUUCUCUGGAAGCUUCUCUGGCGCGACAAGUCGGCAAGGGCACGGGUCUUCUCCGGUAGCUUCUUCGACGCGGCAAGUCGGUAACUAUUUUCUCCGGCAGCUUCUCUGUCAUAAGGAUGUGACAUGGCAUAAGGAUAACUGGGAAAACUAUGAGAGUGAAUUCCUUGCAUUUACAUUGGCGCAGCAAUAAAGGAAAAAAAGGGGGAAGUUUAUUUGGGUUUUUGCGCAGCCAAAAGAACAGAGAUACGAAAACAGAACAGGAAAAAAGGAGAGGCCAUAGGAGAUUACGAGAGCUUGGGAGCGCAGCGGAGACUUCGGCGAGAAGAUUCUAUCGCAAGGAAUUUUCGUGCUUCAAUCACAGCUAUCAUCUCUUAGGCUUGAAUUAUUCUUCUUCUCUAUUUUAUUUCUUGUUUAAUUUUUCAGAAUGUUAUUUCUUGAACUUCCCAUACAUUUAAUUAUGGUUCUUGGCUAGAACUUCAAUUAGGGAUUUGGAUUAGCCUUGAUUAGAUUAAUUGACUAUUUUUCAUGUGUUAAUUCUUCCAAUUGCAGUUUAACGAUUGAACUUGAUUAUAUUUAUUUUAUGUAUUUUAUUUGUGGAUUGUGUG